CUUGAGGGAGCCGAGCCAGAGGGGGCGUCCGUCGUGCCGGUCCUUGCCGUAGGUGGCGAGCAGGGCCUGGGCCUC
rnacentral:antisense_RNA from 1 species